UCUUCCCUCUAGACUUCUGAAAACAGGUUGCAACACAUUGCUUCUGCUAAGAGCCAACAUCCAGUCUCUUCUGCUGCAGAGUCUAGCCAUACAAACCCAAAGGCUCUUUUAAGAGCCAUCCACUCUGCAUUACAGUAUAUUGGACGUCUU